ACGAGCUUGGUGACGUCACCCUGGUCGCUGUCUUCUUCAGACGAAGAUGACAUGUAACUGCAACCUUUAAGGUAAUCAUUCUGAAGCCUAUCCACCUUCAAGGCCAAGUUUUGUUGGCCAUGUCUACCACCAACCGACUUGUGGCUCAUCUUCAAGAACCAUUCAUAAUUCAGCCUGCCUUCCGGUUUAUCUCUGAAACAUGCUGACAGCAGCUUGCUACGUAGAGGACUAUGGAACGUACAGGCAAUGCAUUGGUUUGUGUUGGCGUUAAUAUUCCAGUACCUCGUGUUGGGCAGUGUGUAACGGGGCCGCCCCUCCUCUUUGUUGGCUCUGUGAGCCUCUUUUCUUGCGCUCAUCCAUCAAGCACAGCUGCACGAAAAAUGACAAAAUGGCUCGCUUUGUAGUGUACCUUGGAGUAUUCACUUAUCGACCUCUUAUUUCGUUGGUAUCACCACAAGAUUUAAGUUUGGUCAAGCAAAAAAUUUUUUCUUUGGAGGAAUUUUUACAAAAGUUUCUUAGUCCGCCCUCCUGAAGGCCACAUGUGACAAUCAGCCCCUUCAUGGUCACAAUAAAAUCCACAAACGCUCUUUAAACAUGGCAUCCAUCCUACUUUGGUGCAGCCAAUGCAUAUACAUCAUCUGAACACAGCUGGAGGAGCAUCUUCUAUCAAUCCAUAGAAAACGCAUGACUACUUGGAAUACAGUCGUCCAUCUGUUCAAUCCUUCAUAUGUCAUAUGUCCUUCAUAUGUCCUACCACACAAACUCCCAACGAGACAAAUUUAUUGACUUUUAACGGAACUCUGCGCAGACCCGGCUUGAACACCUAUUAACUUCUGAUAUUUCAAUAAUUUAUUUGAAUGUAUGAAGUGAAGUCCAUUCUUAUGGAAAUGAUAUAUUUAAUUAUUUCUUCAUUUAUUUUGAUAAAU